rnacentral:rRNA from 1 species
UCAGGAAUCUUGGACAAUGGACGAAAGUCUGAUCCAGCGACGCCGCGUGGAGGAUGAAGGUCUUCGGAUUGUAAACUCCUUUUAUCAGAGAACAAAGUAUGAGUAUCUGAUGAAUAAGCGACUCCUAACUUCGUGCCAGCAGGAGCGGUGAUACGAAGGUCGCAAGCGUUAUCCGGAAUUACUGGGCGUAAAGAGAUGCGUAGGCUUUUGAUCAAGUUGAUUGUUAAAUCUCUGGGCUUAACCCAGAAACCGCAAUCAAUACUGGUUAAAUCGAGAUAAGCAGAGGAGGCAGGAAUUUCUGGUGGAGCAGUUAAAUGCGUUGAUAUCAGAAGGAACACCAAUGGCGUAGGCAUGCCUCUGGGCUUUAUCUGACGCUAAGGCUCGAAAGCGUGGGGAGCAAAACGG